CCUACGGGAGGCAGCAGUGGGGAAUAUUGGGCAAUGGGCGCAAGCCUGACCCAGCAACGCCGCGUGAAGGAAGAAGGCUUUCGGGUUGUAAACUUCUUGUGACAGGGAAGAGUAGAAGACGGUACCUGUCGAAUAAGCCACGGCUAACUACGUGCCAGCAGCCGCUGUAAUACGUCGGUGGCAAGCGUUGUCCGGAUUUACUGGGGGUAAAGGGCGUGUAGCCGGGUUGAUAAGUCAGAUGUGAAAGCCUGCGGCUUAACCGCAGAACUGCAUAUGACACUGUUGAUCUUGAGUACUGGAGAGGCAGACGGAAUUCCUGGUGUAGCGGUGAAAUGCGUAGAUAGCGCGAAGAACUCCGAUUGCGAAGGCAGCUUCCUAAACUGUCACUGACAUUGAUGCACGAAAGUGUGGGUAUCGAACAGGAUUAGAUACCCCAGUAGUC
rnacentral:rRNA from 1 species